AUCGCUUCUCGGUCUUUUGGCUAAGAUCAUAUCUGGUAUCUGUUCUUGUCAGCUUUAUAUCUGGCAUGCUGGGAACUGCCUGGGACCAAUUUUAAAAUAAUUUUUGCUUCUUGCGUUAACAUCGAAGCUUGCUUCGGUUGACUCACGGAUUGUCCCGGUCUUACACUACCAUAAGGAUAUGUCUGCUUCAG